rnacentral:misc_RNA from 1 species
GAUGAAGAACGUAGCGAAAUGCGAUAAGUAGUGUGAAUUGCAGAAUUCCGUGAAUCAUCGAAUCUUUGAACGCACAUUGCGCCCGCCAGUAUUCUGGCGGGCAUGCCUGUUCGAGCGUCAUUUCAACCCUCAAGCCCAGCUUGGUGUUGGGGAUCGGCACAGGCGCCCUCGGGCGCCCGCCGUCCCCUAAAUCUAGUGGCGGUCCCGCUGCAGCCUCCUCUGCGUAGUAGUUUUCUCCUCGCAAGGGCAGCUCGGUGGCGACCUCGCCGUAAAACCCCCAACUUCUGAAAGGUUGACCUCGAAUCAGGUAGGAAUACCCGCUGAACUUAAGCAUAUCAAUAAGCGGAGGA